UACAGAGGUCCCAAGCGUUGUUCGGAUUCACUGGGCGUAAAGGGUGCGUAGGUGGUUAGGUAAGUCUGAUGUGAAAUCUCCGGGCUCAACCCGGAAAUGGCAUUGGAAACUAUCUGACUCGAGGAGUGGAGGGGGGACUGGAAUACUUGGUGUAGCAGUGAAAUGCGUAGAUAUCAGGAGGAACACCGGUGGCGAAGGCGGGUCUCUGGGCCGAUACUGACGCUGAGGAGCGAAAGCGUGGGGAGCGAACAGG
rnacentral:rRNA from 1 species